rnacentral:snoRNA from 1 species
CUCCCCUGAUGAUCCGUUGUUUAGUUCCAUACUGUCUGGGCCACUGGUCCGGAG